rnacentral:lncRNA from 1 species
CCAGAUAUCUGGCUCUUUGUCUUUUGAAAGAUCAACGCACUUGGCAUAGCAACCUCCUUCAAUGUUUGACACACCAUUCUCACUCCAACAGUGUUCAUCGUCCCCAAUUAAAUACCUAUUGUGGUCAGUAGACAGAGUGGUCUUUCCAGUACCUAUGACAAAAAUAAAACAGAAAUUGUAUUCAUGAGCAACAAGAAUUGUGAUAAGAGAUAGCAUUAGAUAGAGAUCAUAACAGGCACGUAUCAGUUAGCAGCUGACUGGUCUCCACUGCGGGAAGGAUGAAGAUCCGGUGGUAGUUUACCUGAUAAUCCAAAGAAGAGGGCAACAUCCCCAUGUUUUCCCAUAUUGCAGCCAGAGUGAAGGGAGAGAAUUUGACGCUUAGGCAUCAGAUAAUGCAUUACGCCGAAAAGACCUUUCUUCAUUUCCCCAGCAUACUGGGUGCCAAGGAUAACCAUUUCUCUCCUAGCAAGAUUGAUGUCUAUGC